ACGGCCUUCCCUAGAUCAGGGGCCAGGGCCAAAGACCUCCCAGCAGAAGAGGAGAGGAGGUUGUGUAGGACAAGCUGCUCCCGACAGAAGGAUGUCGCUGCUGAGCCUGCCCUGGCUGGGCCUCAGACCGGUGGCAACGUCCCCAUGGCUACUCCUGCUGCUGGUUGUGGGCUCCUGGCUACUCGCCCGUGUCCUGGCUUGGACCUAUGCCUUCUAUAACAACUGCCGUCGGCUCCAGUGUUUCCCACAGCCCCCAAAACGGAACUGGUUUUGGGGUCACCUGGGCCUGAUCACUCCUACAGAGGAGGGCUUGAAGAACUCGACCCAGAUGUCGGCCACCUAUUCCCAGGGCUUUACGGUUCCUGAAGCCCUGGCUGGGAGAAGGGAUACUGCUGAGUGGCGGUGACAAGUGGAGCCGCCACCGUCGGAUGCUGACGCCCGCCUUCCAUUUCAACAUCCUGAAGUCCUAUAUAACGAUCUUCAACAAGAGUGCAAACAUCAUGCUUGUGAGUCCCUUGAACUCGGUCCCAGCUGGAGUCUUGGGGUGGAGGGACCAUGGACACAUCUGGUC
rnacentral:sRNA from 1 species